rnacentral:ncRNA from 1 species
AGGAAGUUUGGUCCUGGCUUGUUUGUAUACCUAAAACUAUAAAAAUACACAUGGUUUUCCUUGAGUGAAGCGAGGUAAGAUUAAUUUUUUUGUACGGUAGAAAAUGCACAAAAUAUUUUUCUUUAGGUAUUAUUUCUAAGAAAUGCUUUGAAAAGACCCGCUAACACCAGUGUCAGAGAUUAAGGUAAAAGCGAAAGCUUGUUUUAAUUGAGUUUAAUAUGUCUGGCUAAUUUAGUGCCAGCAGCCGCGGUUACACUAAAAGACAAAGUUAUACAUAAAUAGGUUAAAAGGCAGUUAGAUAGCAUUUUAAGUAUGAAAAUCUUUUGUGUAGAGGUGAAAUUUGGGUAUAAAGUGAUAAUUCAAAAAUUACUGUUAAAUUGAAUCUGCGACAGCCUUGAGGGAAACUGGGAUUAGAUACCCCAUUAUUCUAGGUCGUAAAUUAAUAGAGAUUUACCAGAGUACUACGAAUAAAAAUUUAAAACUCAAAGGACUUGGCGGUAUUUUAGACUUUUUAGGGGAACCUGUUCCAUAAUCGAUAGUCCACGAUGCACCUAACCUCUUUUUGUAAAUCAGUUUGUAUACCUUCGUCGACAGGUAACUUUUUAGAAUAAAGAAGUUAGCCCAAAAAUUUAUUAGUUAAGACGUCAGAUCAAGGUGCAGUUUAUGCAGGGGUGAGGAUGGGUUACAAUUAUUUAGUUAUAACAACGAAUUAAUAGAAUAAUAUCUAUUUUAAAGGCGGACUUGAAAGUAAGAAAAAAUAUAAAAACAUUUUGAAUAUAGCUCUGAAAUGUGCACACAUCGCCCGUCGCUCUCGUUGAAAAAUGAGAUAAGUCGUAACAUAGCAGAGGUAAUGGAAAUUGUCUCUAGACUAAA